rnacentral:rRNA from 1 species
CCCUCCCUCUGGCGUCAGGCCUAACACAUGCAAGUCGAGCGCCCUUUCGGGGGAGCGGCGGACGGGUGAGUAACGCGUGGGAAUAUGCCCUUCUCUACGGAAUAGCCUCGGGAAACUGAGAGUAAUACCGUAUACGCCCUGUGGGGGAAAGAUUUAUCGGGGAAGGAUUAGCCCGCGUUGGAUUAGGUAGUUGGUGGGGUAAUGGCCUACCAAGCCGACGAUCCAUAGCUGGUUUGAGAGGAUGAUCAGCCACACUGGGACUGAGACACGGCCCAGACUCCUACGGGAGGCAGCAGUGGGGAAUCUUAGACAAUGGGGGCAAACCUGAUCUAGCCAUGCCGCGUGAGUGAUGAAGGCCUUAGGGUUGUAAAGCUCUUUCAGCUGGGAAGAUAAUGACGGUACCAGCAGAAGAAGCCCCGGCUAACUCCGUG